GGAGGGACCUUGCUUGCCGGGUUCACCCUGCGGAGGGGAGAGGACAGAGGGGUGUCAGACACCGGUGAGCAUCCUCCGCCGCCGGGGCUGCAGCCGUGGGGGCUGCAUGGGGGGUCCAGCGCUACCGCGAGCACCUUUGGGACCAGGAGCACCAACAGCACCCUGUGGAGGAGGAAGAAGAAGAGGAGAGGGCAAAUUCCUCCCUGGCUUCAGCACCAGCCUCAGCAAAAGGGGGUGAAGCCAAACCCACCCCCACCUUUACAUCUGCACCCCAAGAGCCACCCAUCACCCGGCCAGUCCCAACCUGGCGCGGCGGAGCCGAGACCUCACGCCUA